rnacentral:lncRNA from 1 species
AUGCCCGCAGCACGUACCCUGGUUCCUCUGUGGAGGACACGGGCACUUCUCCCGGCCCAAAGGGCAGCGAGAGCCCGGCAGAGCCGGGGAGCAAGGCAGCUGCUGCCACUGCUCCAGCCCGCCAGGGUUGCCAAGGCGGCUGGCUCUGUAUACGCAGCAACAAGCUUUGAAGUCAGGGCAGAGGAAUGUGCCCCCGUGCCGCCCCGCCAGGGCAGGGCACGGAGCCACCGCCGCGUCCCCGAGGGGCUCUGGAGCCGGGGUCUGCACAGAGCGCACCAGGAGCAGCGAGCUGGCGCCCCAAAGCAUCACAAAGUGGGGCUCCUGCCUCCCUGGAGCAGCUUUUGGGAGCUGGAGGAUGCUGCCCAGAGGGCUGGCAGGACUCCACGGCUUGCUCAGCACCAGGUGGGGGUCUGCCAGCGAUUAACACCCCGCUUUGGGCACCGGGAGCUGGGAUGCGCGCUCACAGGGGACUCGGCACGGAGCAGGGCAGGGAGAUGUGCGCCGAGGAUGGAGCACAAGCCACGAGGAUGGAGGAUGGAGCACCACCCGCUGCCCCCGCCCAGGGAAACUCACCCACACGCUGCCAGAUAGCCCUGGCUGCAUAGAUAAGAGAGGUUUUUCCGGAGGAGAUGAAGGGCAGAGGGCAAACCUCCAGGAGGUUCACCUGGCACCUAGGGCUUUGGCUGCCCAGGCGCUGGUGGCUGCUGUCUUGGCCAAAAAGGAGCGCUGCAACCCGCCGGUUGCUUGAGGUCGAGCCCACGUUUUGGGGUAAAUUCAAGGGAAAAAGCAGGUGCCCGCGGGGCUGGCACAGUGCAGGAGGGAAAGCUGCAGGGAGGAGAGAACAGGAACCACCAUGGAUGGAUUUCCCCAUCACCCUCUGUGCCUACAAAGCCCCUCUCCACCUCCUCGUCUCCCCCGGGUGCUUUAGGGGAAGGGUCUCGCUGCCCCCUCCGCUCCACCUGCGGCUCCCAAAAAGAAAGAGGG